rnacentral:hammerhead_ribozyme from 1 species
AUCCCGCUGACAAGUCCUAAAUAGGGUGAAACGCGCGUUCUGGAU